CCGCACGAGCGCACCCCUAUCCUUAUUUGCCAGCACGUAAUGGUGGGAACUCUAGGGAGACUGCCGGUGAUAAACCGGAGGAAGGUGGGGACGACGUCAAGUCAUCAUGGCCCUUACGGAUUGGGCUACACACGUGCUACAAUGGGAAGUACAGAGGGAUGCGAAAGCGCGAGCUGAAGCCAAACCCUUAAAACUUUUCUUAGUCCGGAUUGGAGUCUGCAACUCGACUCCAUGAAGUCGGAAUCACUAGUAAUCGCGAAUCAGAAUGUCGCGGUGAAUACGUUCUCGGGCCUUGUACACACCGCCCGUCACAUCAUGGAAGUGGGUUGCACCAGAAGUGGUUAGUCUAACCUUCGGGAAGACGAUCACCACGGUGUGAUUCAUGACUGGGAUGAAGUCGUAACAAGGUAGCCCUAGGGGAACCUGGGGCUGGAUCACCUCCUU
rnacentral:rRNA from 1 species